AAGAGCCGCGUGAUAAGCUCAUUGCGGCCAAUGCAAUCUUCUACAUAACUUUUGAUUGCGUGGAGGAUCCAACGAAAGGUCGUUACAGGGCGGUUGUACGGAAGACGAUGGAUGGUAAACCUGGGCACAUGCGCCUCGAGGUUACGUGUUCGAGAGUCUAAGGAAUCGGAGAUCAAAUUUCAGUAUCUUGUUUAAAUUCACAAGACUUCUUAACUUGGAAAAAUCUCGAGAAUGUAUUAAUAAGUAGUAUCAAUGUAUGAUCGAACUGAUAGAUCAGAAUUAUGUUAUGAAACUUAAAGUUAUUCCCAUUUUAUUGUCAGCAUAUUUUCUUUGUUGUACAUGUUUAUUGUAAAAAAGGUUCCGCUAAAACUGGGUAACCAAAUUGAUGAUAACCACUUGGAUGAUCUUGACAAUUUGAUUAUGCAAACAUACAAGGACAUUUGGAUGAUAUUUUGUUUAUGGCUGCAGAGUCCAGAAGCGGAUGAAUUAUCUAAGCAUGCUAAAAUCAAUAGUUGUGGUCUCUGUAUUCCAGUGACAUCCUAGUUGUAACAACUCUUUAGUAUGUUUUAAUCUAUAAGUUUUUUUUUUUUCCCAACUGAAGUUUAUUAAUAGGAUUAAAUCCAAAAUGGGCAAAGCCCAAACCUUACAAAAAUCCGAAGCCCAAAAACAGAGGCAUACAACCAAGUAAAACAAACUAGGCCCGAGGCCCACACAAACAACCGAAACCCUAGUAGGCUAGGCGUCGCUCUUCACGCGAAGCCGCACGCCUCCUUUCUUCCUCCGGUACCAGCGACCGCGUCACGACGACUCAACGGCCACCGUCGACAGCAAAGUCGAAACCGGAACUCAACCAUUCAACCAGACCUUCGAGAUACUCGAAUCCAACAAACACAUAAACUUCAAACCAAACAGACGGAUCUACGAAUUACCAACAGAUAUUAAAGCCUACAAUCGAUUCAUCAUCUCCGACAUAUAAGCGGCAACAGAUUCAGAUCGAGAAGCGAUAACCAAAGAAGCUCAAACUCGUAGAUCUAAAUGAGGAGAAAUAAAAAAAACCCUAAAACGAACGCCGGCGCCAGCGAUGUUGCGGAAGCCACCGCCUCCCGGAAGCAGAAGCCGACGAUGGCGAUGCUGAAGGAGCCACCGCCUCCCGGUACCCAAAGCCGGCGAAGAAGGUGCUGAAAAAGCCACCCCUUCCCAGAAACAAGUCGGACGACCACCAUAGAGAGGUGCGACGCCGAAACCUAUGUAGAUCAAGAGACCCCGAACAAAAGCCAGAUGCUAAAACGAAAAAAAGAACUCCACAACCGGACCGACGGUGGCUCAGAGAGCCUCGCCGUCGGCCGGAAAUCUCUCUCUCUCUUUUCUCUCUCUCUUUGAUCAGCUAUUCCAGAUAAUUGAUGUUUAAUCUAUAAGUUAGCCGAUAAAGAAAAAACAAUAAUACUUUGGUUUAUUAUUCGGUAUCGCCAACAAUGUUGGGCCGGUAGUGUAGUUUUAGUCUUUUAAUAAUAAUCAUCAUGGGCUCUGAAAAUACGGGUUUUGGGUCUUAACCCGGUAAGUAAAGUGAGAUAGAUCCGGAUGGAUAUUGUUUUCCUCUAGCGCGUCUCGGUUCCGGCUAAUUCGAGAAAGGAGAAUCAGAAGAAGAAACGAAGCUGUGAAUCGUCCGUCGCUUGUGUAAGGAACGGAACUCUCUCUCUCUCUCUAGAUCUUCGAGUAUCUAUAACGAUUAUAUGAAUCCUAGAUCUUUUCGUGUUCAUUUAGUCGUAAAAGAAAAGAAAAGAAAAGAAAAAAUUAUCUUUUCGUGUUCAUCUAGCGCUCAUUUACUGUAUCCUUUCUCUUCGGCGUAGCCUAAGGCUGUGGAUUGUUCCUAUUUGUUAAACUAUGCAUCAAUCUUAGGAAAUUAGGGUUUUAUGAGGCUUGAAUUGUUGUAUCUGUGAUUGUUACUCCAUCUGUGAGUGGAGUGUCAAAAUUAAACUACGGCUGUCUAGGUUACGAUAUAUUGAUCUCGUUUCUUUUUUGCCGCACGAUCUAGUUUUUUUUUUUCGUAAAUGCAUUACCAUCUAUUUUGCUUGUUGAGCUACAUGACUGCCUCCUCUGUAACUGUGAUCAUCACUAUAUUAGCUUAAAGAGCUUAACAUUCAGUUCAGUAUGUUGCUCUACAUAAAGUUACUUUUAGAUUGGCUUGAAUUUGAACGUUGAGUUAUUCACUUUACAACAACUGAUUCAAUCUCAUCAGUAAAGAGAUGCUUUUAGAUUUGCUACUUAUAGCCUGUUUAUCGCAUCUGAAUUUAUGCAAGGCAUUUUCUGGUUACAUUUACUGGGAGUCAUUAGAAAGUGUGUUCUCUUUCUGUUGUUGUCCUUUUAUAUAUCUCUUACCUUUAAACACGAUGCACUGCAGAAAAAUCUGUAAACAUGGCUGAUUCUCAUUUACACCCAGCGUUAACACGGGUACGUCGUCCAAGAGAGAAUCAUUAUUCGUUACACAUUCAUUUUAGUCUGCUUCUUAUGUUCUCACUGGUUAUGCAGCACCGCCACACUGUACCAACCAUCUCCGAUGAUUUCUACAACUAUAUGAAGCUGAUAAAGAAAACUGAGCCUGAAAUCAUGUCUAAACUUUUGCCUAUUCUACGCACAAUACCAGACUCCGGUAUCCAACUCGUUAAUACCAAGACUACAGAGUUGUUUUGCACACUAAUAGUGAGUUUCAAUUGCAGAUUCGAAGGGACGAGAGAAAGUUGGAAGAACAGUAUGCUGUUUUGCAGUAUGAUGAAGAUCAUGGUAAAUUGUCUCUUAAUGUUCACAUUGGAUGCAUACAAAUACGUGUAUAUCUUUGCUCAUGCAUCUUUUCUUUUCCGACUCUUUGACAUAUCUGUGCAGAAACAGUUUGGGCUGUCAUAGCAGCCAAGUUGUUCAGUGUUGUAAAACAUAGACCGAAGAGCAUCUUCACUAACUACUCAGCCCAGUAUAUACUUGACUUCGCUCCUCGCCCGGGAAAGACUCAGAGAAAACAUCAGCAUACUUGUUGCAAACCUCUUACCGUAGCGUACUUGUUGCAAACCUCCAACACGUAACCUCGAGGCUCAUGUGCCCCGGUUUCCCAUCCAUCGUCUUCCGUAUGACCGCCCUGUAACGACCUAUUGUUGGAUCCUCCACGCACUCAAAAGAUAUAUAGAAGACUGCAUUGGCCGCAUUGAGCUUAUCACUCGGCUCUUUCUCAUCAAGGGUUUCCACAACCACAUGUUGAGUAAUCAAGGGUCGGCAAUCUUCAAUCUCUCCCGGACUGAGCGGUCCAUUCCAUUUCGUGAAGAAGGCAAACUCGGUUAAGAGAGGCAGCCACCCGUUUUUCUCGUCAUGAAGCUCUGAUUGUUCAACCUAAUGGAUCCACACACCCAAUAGUAAAAAAAAACAAUGGAAACAUGAAUGGUUUUGUGCUUUAUAUGAAUUGACUACAAGACAGAAGAGUUACCACAUAGCAUCGUUGCUGACGGUCAUCAGACAGCCAUUUAGGCAUUUCACCUUUGUAAUAAUCAUGUACUGCUCCAUCGUUCCACUCAUAAUCAGCCUCUUCGCUACCUUUUAACCACACAAAGAAAAACUUAUGAUAAUAUGGCAGAGCAACUCCCAUCAAUAACCUAUACGGAUACCUUUUUAGACACUUUUUUUUACCUUCCACCCUGCAAAUGUGCGUCUCCCACCACAAAUUUGGGACGUGUGUAACUUGAUCAUCGUUAUGCUUAACACAAGUCUCGAAAGUCAGUGGAGAACGGUCGGCUGGAUUAACGGCCUCAAAUGUUACGAAAGACUUGGUGAAGUAAAGGUGAGUCUGCUCAUGUAACUGACUGAUAAACCGAAAAUCGCAAGCUGUGCCCUAGAGAGAUGAGAAAGUAACUGGAAAGCUUAACUUAGGUGAUAAGUUUAGAUAGUGUUCGUGUAAUAAAAUAGGAAAAAAAUAACCUUCUGAAGAUUGUAACAGUAGAGUGCAAGUCUAGCGCAGAGGCCUCUGUCAUAAUAAAACCGCCAUGCUUUAGGUUUUAUCCUCCUACCUGCAAAAAAAGCCUACGCACAAUCACAACUAAAUUAACAUCGCCACAGAAAGGAUGCAUUAUAAAUACACAAGUCACGUAAGAUAAGACAUGAAGAAAGGGAGAGAAAGAAGUUACGUUGGCAUCUGUAACGUAUGUGGACCACCCUCGGUCAGCUGGAUCAUCAUCGGAGAAGGAAUUUUGUUCAUCUUCUCCGAGCUCCUUCAAUUCCGCUCGGACUUACAUAACCACGUAAUAUAUGAGAACCGAUCAUUAGCUAUGAAAGGAAGCUGCGGCCUGUAUUCAGAGAACCUCCGCUGCGAUUCGGGCAUACUCAGGAUCAUAGUACAUUAUUGAGUAUUCACAUAAUGGGUUGAACAAAUAAGGAAAAAUGAAUACGAAACUGAAAGAAGUUACCAUUCAUUCUGCUUGCAGAUGCUUUAAAAAAAGUGUGCAGCCUUAGGGAGCGAACAUCAAUGAUUAGACAUAAGUCAUAACAGAUCAAUGAACCAUUCGUUCUCAUACUAAUUAUUGCAUUACAAACAGAAAUCUCUCCUUAACGAUGAUAAUAGAUCCAACUCGUUCUAGUCCAAAUAGUUUUAGACAAACACAACAUAAAACAUUUAACAUAUCAUGACAGAAUUAGUAAAUAGCCUUAGAAAUUAUAAACGAGUAGAUCCGCAGUUCUGUCUAUUGUUCUUUUUCUUCAGCUUAAUAGCGUUAAUGAUAGGUAUUGUAAAAGAGCAGAUCCCUAUCAAUCUUUUCUUCUUCUUCAGUUCAAUCUGCUGUUGCUGCAACUUCAAUAUACAUAUGUCCUGGCUUGCCAUCCCUGGUUUUCCUUAUUACCGCGCUGUGAUCACCCGCCCAUUCUGAAGAUUCACCAUUAUACUUGUAACUUACGUAGAAGAUUGCAUUAUGGGCUUUCAGCUUCUCAUGGCCUUCUUCUGUGUCUUCUUUAGUUACUACAACCACCUUCUCAAUCUCCAAGGGUGGGGGAGCAGUCAACACCUACAAAAGAAAAAGGUUCAAGUUAUUUUCUUUCUUUUUUUUGCAGAGAAUCUCUCUCAAGGGGACUUACAUUAUUUGUUUUUGAGUAGAACGCAAUUUCGGUGAAUAGAUACAGCCAAUCAUUCUCCUGCAACUCUGAUUCUUGCACCUGUGAUGAGAUCAACAGAACAGAAUGUAUGUUACCUGCCUAGUUAACAUGUCAGACAAGUUGCCUUCUCAAGCUAAAAAGAAAAAAAAAGAAGUUGCAGUUUCAAACAGUGGAUAUGAUCUUACCACAUAAUAAUUUUUCUUGCCACGAGACAAUUCUUCAUCAGACGACCAUUUGGGUAUUCCAUCUUUGUAGAAAUCAUCUACUGCCUUAUCGUCCCAAUGAUCAUCCGCAGCAUUUUCACCUAUAAAAGAGUUCUCUAUAAACAGUUAGUUCUCUUAAAUUAAACCAGAACUCCAAGCGAUAUAUAUAAAGACUUAGACAAUAUCCAUCACAGACCACGAAUGUUGGUGAUAUAAUCUUACAUUUGAUUCUGCAGGCUAAGGUAGUCCACAUAACAGGACGGUCUGGAGAAGAAUCUUCGUUUAACAAGGUCUGAAAAGAGAAGACCGAGUCAGAGACAGGAUCCUUGGCGUCCAAAGUUACAUAGACGUAGUCGUAUGCAGUAGAGAUAACACUAUACUUUUCCCAGCGCACAAACUUGAAGUUUGUUCCCUGUCAAAAGCAAAAAAACAACUCAUAAGAAAAAGGGAAUCAAGGUUACACUCAACACAUCAAGUAGGAAAAUACAUUUAAACAACACUUAACCAUUUUUAAAACUCAAAAUCAUGCAAUCCACCAUUUUAAAAGAAUGCGACAUUAUAAUUUAUUCACCUCAUCAUGUUCAAUAUAUCAGCUGACAACGAAAAAACAAACUCAUAUAGGUAAAACAAAUGGUAGUAGGAAAACUCAUGUUAGUAUAAUAUCUUCAAUCUUUUAACAUAUGAAUUUAACUAAAAUCUUAAUGCCAAUGUUUUACACAGCAUAAUAAUGUAUAUGAAAAUCCUAAAUAAAGAAAAACUUAAAGACUGUUCUCCCCCCCCGCAUUGUAUAACAUUGAUCGACAGAGGUGAAAGUUUAUUUACCCAACAACAAUAAUAUUUUGCAGAGCAAUGGAAAAAAAAAAAGACAUGAAAACGAUACCUUCUGAAAAUUGUGGCAGUGGAGUCCAAGUUUACCAUAAAGGGCGAUGUCAUAGUCAUCGCCCCAAGUAGACUUAACUAGUCUAGACGGAUAACAAGAGUUAUUCACAUCAAAACCCUACAAAAAAACACGAAGAAAAGUAUCAACCUUCUUUCUUUUAUUUUACACGAAGAGAUCAUCCACUGAAACGACCUGGUAAUCAAAAUCUGAUAUAACAAGCAGCAACAUCAUGAUUACGAAUUCGAAGAGAGAUUACAUCGGCCAACCCUUCUUUAUUGAAAUCGGGAACGUUUGGAACAACAUCCAAACCGAAGAACUUUAGCUUAGCCUUCCGCCUUCUUUUCUCCCUUCGCAAUAACUCAAAAUCCUCCAUAACCUCCUCCAACCAACUCUUCCCCAGAUCUCACAAAAAAUUUCUGGAUAUAUGAGAGAGAGAGAGAACUAACUUUAGGUGACAAGGUACGGGUUAAUACGACGUCGUUUUGUAGGUCUACAGAAAACAGAAUACCGAAACAAAAUUGUAAAAGCCCAUAAAUCUAGGGGUCUAAGUCCACAGAGUGGUGGCCCAUUUGCGACCCAUUUGUUGUUCUUUAUCAUAUUGCCGUAGUAGUAGUCGGUCGAUCUGAAAAAUUAGGGUGAAAAUGGGGGAUUCGUCGCCAGAAUAUGAUCCAGAGUAUGCCCGAAUCGCAGCGGAGGUUCUCCGAAUUUUCUUUAAUCAUCUUCUUUAGGCCUGCCUGUAGCUUCCUUUCAUCGCAAGUGCUUGGUUCUAUAAUACAUUCCUUGGUUUUUGUAGGUGCGGGCGGAAUUGAAGGAGCUCGGAGAAGAUGAACAAAAUUCAUUCUCCGAUGAUGAUGAUCCCGCUGAUCGUGGGUGGUCCACAUACGUUACAGAUGCCAAAGUACGUACCAUCUUGACUUGUCUUCCUUUCUUCAUCUCUUCUCACAACACUUAACUUGUGUGUAUUUAUAUAAUCCGUUUGUCUAUUUUCUUUCUGUGGGUGCUGCUGAUAUAGUUGUGUUUGUGCGUAUAGGCUUUUUUUGCAGGUAGGAGGAUAAAACCUAAAGCAUGGCGCUUUUAUUAUGACAGGGGCCUCUGCGCUAGACUUGCACUCUACUGUUACAAUCUUCAGAAGGUUUUUUUUGUUUCCCUAUUUUAAAUACGCAUGCCUUCUCAACUUAUCACCGCUUUCCCGUUUCUUUCUCAGGGCACAGUUUACGAUUUUUGGUUUAUCGGUCAGCUACAUGAGCAGACUCACCGUUCCUUCACCAAGUCUUUCAUAACAUUUGAGGCGGUGAAUCCAGCCCACCAUUCUUCUCCAAUCACUUUCGAGACUUGCGUUAAGCAUAUAGAUGAUCAAGUUACACACGUCCCCAAUUUGUGGUGGGAGACUCACAUUUGCAGGGUGGAAGGUAUACAAUCUUUCUAAUUAAUAGCUUAUUGAAUGGGGUUCCUCUGCCAUUAUCAUAAAGUUUUUCUGUGUGUGUGGUUAAAAGGUAGCGAAGAGGCUGAUUAUGAGUGGGACGAAGGAGCCGUAAAUGAUUGUUACAAAGGUGAAAUGCCCAAAUGGCUGUCUGCUGAAGAUCAGCAACGAUGCUAUGUGGUAACACUCUUCUGUCUAGUAGCAAAAUCAUAUAAUUAUAAUGCACAAAAUCAUUCAUGUUUCCAUUGUUUGUUUUUCAUUGGGUGUGUGGAUCCAUAUAUAGGUUAAACAAUCAGAGCUUCAUGACCAGAAAAACGGUUGGCUGACUCUCUUAACCGAGUUUGCCUUCUUCACGAAAUGGAAUGGACCUCUCAGUCCGGGAGAGAUUGAGGAUUGCCGACCUUUGAUUACUCAAGAAGUGGUUGUGGAAACUCUUGAUGAAGAAGCUGAGAAAGAGCAGUCGAGUGAUAAAGUGAUCAAUGCGGCCAAUGCAAUCUUCUACAUAUCUUUUGAGUGCGUGGAGGAUCCAACGAAAGGUCGUUACAGGGCGGUUGUACGGAAGACGAUGGAUGGGAAACCUGGGCACAUGCGCCUCGAGGUUACGUGUUCGAAAGUCUGAGAUCAAAAUUUCACUAUCUUGUCGGAAUAUUCUCGACAAUAUUAAUUAGCUAAGCAUGCUUCUUUAUAUGUUGUCUCCAUGAAA
rnacentral:lncRNA from 1 species